CACGUAGGGUGCGAGCGUUGUCCGGAAUUAUUGGGCGUAAAGAGCGUGUAGGCGGCCAGGUAGGUCCGGUGUGAAAACUCGAGGCUUAACCUCGAGAUGUCAUCGGAAACCAUCUGGCUAGAGUCCGGAAGAGGAGAGUGGAAUUCCUGGUGUAGCGGUGAAAUGCGCAGAUAUCAGGAAGAACACCAAUGGCGAAAGCAGCUCUCUGGGACGGUACUGACGCUGAGACGCGAAAGCGUGGGGAGCGAACAGG
rnacentral:rRNA from 1 species